GACGGACGCUGGCGGCGUGCUUAACACAUGCAAGUCGAACGGUAAGGCCCUUCGGGGUACACGAGUGGCGAACGGGUGAGUAACACGUGGGUGAUCUGCCCUGCACUUCGGGAUAAGCCUGGGAAACUGGGUCUAAUACCGGAUAGGACCACUGCCUGCAUGGGUGGUGGUGGAAAGCUUUUGCGGUGUGGGAUGGGCCCGCGGCCUAUCAGCUUGUUGGUGGGGGGAUGGCCUACCAAGGCGACGACGGGUAGCCGGCCUGAGAGGGUGAUCGGCCACACUGGGACUGAGAUACGGCCCAGACUCCUACGGGAGGCAGCAGUGGGGAAUAUUGCACAAUGGGCGCAAGCCUGAUGCAGCGACGCCGCGUGAGGGAUGACGGCCUUCGGGUUGUAAACCUCUUUCAGCACCGACGAAGCGCAAGUGAUGGUAGGUGCAGAAGAAGGACCGGCCAACUACGUGCCAGCAGCCGCCGUAA
rnacentral:rRNA from 1 species